CUUUACUGUAACUUGAAAUUGAAAUUGGACUUUAUUCGCGCAGUAUAGGUGGGAGGCGUUGAUUAUAAUCUUGCGGGAUUAUCGGAGCCAUCAGUGAGAUACCACUCUUGUAAUGUUAGAUUUCUAACUUUGAAUCAUUAUCUGGUCAAAGGACAAUUUCAGGCGGGCAGUUUGACUGGGGCGGUCGCCUCCUAAAUGGUAACGGAGGCGUACAAAGGUUUCCUCUGAACGGUUAGAAAUCGUAUCUAGAGUGUAAAGGCAUAAGGAAGCUUGACUGUGAGACCUACAAGUCGAGCAGGGACGAAAGUCGGUCUUAGUGAUCUGACGGUACUGAGUGGAAAGGCCGUCACUCAACGGAUAAAAGUUA
rnacentral:rRNA from 1 species